rnacentral:rRNA from 1 species
UGGGGAAUCUUGGACAAUGGGCGCAAGCCUGAUCCAGCCAUGCCGCGUGAGUGAAGAAGGCCUUAGGGUUGUAAAGCUCUUUUGGCAGGGACGAUAAUGACGGUACCUGCAGAAUAAGCCCCGGCGAACUUCGUGCCAGCAGCCGCGGUAAUACGAAGGGGGCUAGCGUUGUUCGGAUUUACUGGGCGUAAAGCGCACGUAGGCGGAUUGUUAAGUCAGGGGUGAAAUCCCGGAGCUCAACUCCGGAACUGCCUUUGAUACUGGCAAUCUUGAGGCUGGAAGAGGUUGGUAGAAUUCCCAGUGUAGAGGUGAAAUUCGUAGAUAUUGGGAAGAAUACCAGUGGCGAAGGCGGCCAACUGGUCCAGAUCUGACGCUGAGGUGCGAAAGCGUGGGGAGCAAACA